rnacentral:misc_RNA from 1 species
GUGUCAGACAUCAAAAAGGGAGUCGGUUGGGAAUUUUUAUUGCGUCUUUUGAUCGAGUUCUGGUCUCAUCAGCGUGUCGUAUCCGGUGCGUUCCAAUCGGACUUUCGGAGUUCAGAUAUCCGAGACAGAAGACAUAGCACAAGGGCAUAUCUUGCCACAAGAGAGACAUGUACGAGUACGGAAGGGACUGCUCGAAACAAUGUGAAAAAGUGGCCGGAAUCCUUGUGCUGUUUUCGAUACAAAUUAGUCGCUUGAAUCGGGUUCCAAAGAGCUCCGUUGGUGUGUUCCAUUCAGUUAGAGUGUUAACAGUGUGGAAGGGGACCGUUCUACUGGUACAAUAGAUACAACACAUGGUUACUUGUACAGGUACCGGACGUCCUCCAACUGUCGGUGAUCUGUAUUUGAGGAUCUAAUCGAGUCUGUAUCUUAUGAAAUGGAUAUAUUUAAAGGAAUAUUCCCCUGGUUCUGC